GACGAACGCUGGCGGCGUGCUUAACACAUGCAAGUCGAACGGAAAGGCCCCUUUGGGGGUACUCGAGUGGCGAACGGGUGAGUAACACGUGAGUAACCUGCCCUUGACUUCGGGAUAACUUCAGGAAACUGGGGCUAAUACCGGAUAGGAAUCCUUGCUGCAUGGUGGGGGUUGGAAAGCUUCGGCGGUUUUGGAUGGACUCGCGGCUUAUCAGCUUGUUGGUGGGGUAGUGGCUUACCAAGGCUUUGACGGGUAGCCGGCCUGAGAGGGCGACCGGCCAAAUUGGGACUGAGAUACGGCCCAGACGCCUACGGGAGGCAGCAGUGGGGAAUAUUGCACAAUGGGCGGAAGCCUGAUGCAGCAACGCCGCGUGCGGGAUGACGGCCUUCGGGUUGUAAACCGCUUUCAGCAGGGGCGAAGCUUGUGGUGACGGUACCUGCAGAAGAAGCACCGGCUAACUACGUG
rnacentral:rRNA from 1 species